CCUACGGGAGGCAGCAGUGGGGAAUAUUGGACAAUGGACGAAAGUCUGAACCAGCCACGCCGCGUGAAGGAUGACUGCCCUCUGGGUUGUAAACUUCUUUUAUAUGGGAAUAAAAUGUUCCACGUGUGGGAUUUUGUAUGUCCCAUAUGAAUCAAGCUCGGCUAACUCCGUGCCAGCAGCCGCGGUAAUACGGAGGAUCCGAGCGUUAUCCGGAUUUAUUGGGUUUAAUGGGUGCGUAGGUGGAUUCUUAAGUCAGUUGUGAAAGUUUGCGGCUCAACCGUAAAAUUGCAGUUGAAACUGGCAGUCUUGAGUACAGUAGAGGUAGGCGGAAUUCGUGGUGUAGCGGUGAAAUGCUUAGAUAUCACGAAGAACUCCGAUUGCGAAGGCAGCUCACUGGACUGCAACUGACAUUGAGGCUCGAAAGUGUGGGGAUCAAACAGGAUUAGAUACCCCUGUAGUC
rnacentral:rRNA from 1 species